CAGAGAGGAGACCAUAUGAGGAAGAGGUAUGGUAGGUAUCUGGUCAGCAGAGGGGUCUGGUCUUGGAGCUGGUAGCUCAGGAGGAAUGGACUCCUAGAUAGGAGUGUGAAAGGAUUUAAACCUGUAGGGGAGUAUCAGGUAAAGUAGGUAAGGGUGAUAGGGAGGAGGGAAGCUCAAGAUAACCUAAGCUCUAGAGAGAGCUUGGCAAGCUGCUGUUUGAUGAGUCCAUUGGCUCUAUCAUCCUUUCCUGAGGGUUGUGGCUGGUAAGGGAUGUUGAGAGUUUCAGACACAAGCUCAGUGACCCUGGUGGUGAAGGCUGGACCAUUGAGUGUUUGGAUGGUCUGCAGCAUGACAAACCAAAAAAUUGUGUGUUCAAGGAGAACCUGAGCCACCAUAUCUGUUGUUUUCCUGGAGGUAGGGGAAAACAACACCCACCCCAUAAAGAUGUCCACAAGGGUUAGGCGAUAGCAUAACUUUAUAUGAGUGGUCAUAUGGGUGAAGCCAAUCUCCCAAACCUGGCUCACUUGGUGCCCUUGGAGCAAGUACAGGAACUGGUGUAUCUGGACUGCCCCCUGCAGGUUAACCUUAGCCAUGUCUAGCAGGAAGAGUGGACCUGGAAAAUGUGGGCUCUGAGGUCAAAGAGAGGAGCUAAAAAGUGGAAUAGAACUUUGGGCCCAAUGUGUAGCAUUUAGUGGAUAUCAAAGAUGAUGGAGAGCAUCUGAUUCUAAGGAAAGAUAAGGUUGUUAUUCAUAUAGAACUAUCCAUCCUUUGUCUGUGUGACUCCUGUAUCUAGGAGUGCAUCUUUUUUCUGUUGGUAUUCUGGCCAACAGGAGGGUUCUAGAAAGGGGCUAUAUCCUAUGAAUCCAGUGGAGCUUGAGAUCAGCCCCAAGGCUACUGUGUCAUCCCUAGCAUUGCUCAGGGACAUGAGGCAUAGGGCUUCUACAGCUUCUGGGCAGGAAUGAGGGGAGUAACAAAGGAAGGUAGGACAGGGAGGUCAUUGCAAGAUUUAAGGUAGGACUCUCUCAGGGUAAUUUGUAAGUUUUUCUAGAACAGUGAAUAAAAGGCUUGGACCCAUGAGGGCCCAAGGAGGGAAAAAGAAGAAUGACUCAGAAGGACUGAGAGGAAAUGGAUGGAGUAUACAAUGAUAGACUAGAACAGGGUGAUCUUGAGGGCUUCCCAGGUGAGUUCUGCUGCCACAGCUAGGGUUCUCAACCAGGGCUGCCAUCCAUAUGCAGUGGGAUCUAGCUGUUUUGACAAAAAGGCUGUGUCACAAUUGGAAGACCCAACAAGUUGAGCUGAAACACCUGAGUCCACUCCCAUCCUCUCAUCUGUAAUGAGGUGGUAGAGGGAUCCAGUGACAGAAGAAUCCCCAAAAUUGAAAGGAUCUGAUCUCCUGUGGUUGGCUGCAAAUCCCCAAGGCUCAGACUCAGAGAUCCUGAACUAAGUGGAAGGCACCAGAAAGUUUGCACACCAGGAGAAUUGAGAGUGUUACAAGUAGGCUUCCAGAGUUAAGUUUCCAGCACCCUCACAACUGCCUGUAACUCCAGUGUCCAGGAAUUCAACACAUUCUGGCCUCCGUGGGCCUUUGCACAUAUGCACAGACACAUAGACACAGGAUAAAAAUAAAAUAUCUUUAAUCAGAA